AAACUCCCUGCAGCCUGGGGGCUCAUGGGGCUCUGCUGAAGAUCAAAAGCUUCAGGAGAGCUAAAACGGGCAUAACUCUUCACAGUGUCAGGAAACACUCCUGCGUUUGACGAUCCUCUGAGCUCCACCUCCUCCAACAGGUAGGAAGUCCUGAACUGUGUAAGAGUGAGAAACAGAACCAAACACAG